UGCUGACUUCAGCAGCCCAUGCACUAAACUGGACUGAUAAAGAGAAGAUUAGCAUGGCCUCUGCAAAGGAUGACACACACAUUGGUGAAGCAUUCAAAAACAAA
ensembl:snRNA U6 U6 spliceosomal RNA